UUAGUUCAAAUUUGUAUGUACUUGGAGCGUAUGUCUAUAUUUGCAGCUAGGGGCGUUGUUCCAACUGCAUACAAAUUUAAGUUA
rnacentral:pre_miRNA from 1 species